GUAUGUUCUUUAGAGAAAUAGCUAAUUAAACCAUCUAUCUAUUUUAAUUUGUUUUAAAUUUAUGUAUUAAUGUUUUGCCUCUGUGUAAAUGCACGUGCAUGCAGGACCAGAAGAGGGGAUUGGAUGCCCUGGGACUGGUGUUAGCAGAUAGUUGUGAGCUGCCAUAUAAAUCCCAGGGUUUCCCUAGCAACAGCUCCAAAUGGGUCUUGUUGCUAGGGAACACAGGGAUUUCCCAGGUAAAACAAAUAAUCUCAUAAGAUUGCCUGAAUAUUACCUACUGCCCAUCCCUCUCCAUUUUGUCCAAGCAGA
rnacentral:lncRNA from 1 species